UGGGGAAUCUUGGACAAUGGGGGCAACCCUGAUCCAGCAACGCCGCGUGCGGGACGAAGGCCCUCGGGUCGUAAACCGCUGUCAGGAGGGAGGAACGGUGCGUGGUUAAGAGCUGCGUACUUUGACAGUACCUCCAGAGGAAGCCCCGGCUAACUCCGUGCCAGCAGCCGCGGUAAUACGGAGGGUGCGAGCGUUAAUCGGAAUUACUGGGCGUAAAGAGCUCGUAGGCGGUUCAGUAAGUCGGGUGUGAAAACUCUGGCUCAACCCAGAGAGGCCACCCGAUACUGCUGUGACUUGAGUACGGUAGGGGAGCGGGGAAUUCCUGGUGUAGCGGUGAAAUGCGCAGAUAUCAGGAGGAACACCAGUGGCGAAGGCGCCGCUCUGGGCCGUAACUGACGCUGAGGAGCGAAAGCAUGGGUAGCAAACAGGAUUAGAUACCCUGGUAGUCCACACCGUAAACGAUGAAUGCCAGUCGUCGGGUAGCAUGCUAUUCGGUGA
rnacentral:rRNA from 1 species